rnacentral:rRNA from 1 species
UACGGAGGGGGCUAGCGUUGUUCGGAAUUACUGGGCGUAAAGCGCACGUAGGCGGAUUUCUAAGUCAGGGGUGAAAUCCUGGAGCUCAACUCCAGAACUGCCUUUGAUACUGGGAAUCUCGAGUCCGGGAGAGGUGAGUGGAACUGCGAGUGUAGAGGUGAAAUUCGUAGAUAUUCGCAAGAACACCAGUGGCGAAGGCGGCUCACUGGCCCGGUACUGACGCUGAGGUGCGAAAGCGUGGGGAGCAAACAGG